rnacentral:rRNA from 1 species
GACGUAGGGCGCGAGCGUUGUCCGGAUUUAUUGGGCGUAAAGAGCUCGUAGGCGGCUUGUUGCGUCGACUGUGAAAACCCGCGGCUUAACUGCGGGCUUGCAGUUGAUACGGGCAGGCUAGAGUUCGGUAGGGGAGACUGGAGUUCCUGGUGUAGCGGUGAAAUGCGCAGAUAUCAGGAGGAACACCGGUGGCGAAGGCGGGUCUCUGGGCCGAUACUGACGCUGAGGAGCGAAAGCGUGGGGAGCGAACAGG